rnacentral:lncRNA from 1 species
GGCCGAGCCUGGCGAAGCGCUGCUCGCCCGAGAUCGCGCAGCUUGGUCAAAUGAAAAGACGAGAAAACAGCUUCUAUCACCAUGACAGCCACCUGGACACACCUAUCUCUGUUGGCAAGGGGGAGCAUUUGGAAAAUGGGAGAAGGUGGACACACAUGCAGGCAAGUUUGUACCUGGGAGCAGAAAUGCAAAGGCUUUUGCUGAGACCUUUUACAGAGAGAGGGUGCUGCAGUAAAAGCUUCCAACCCCAGCCCUUCUAAUCUGUGUCCAGAAGGAAGUGCUUGGUCCCCAACAGAUGCCUACUUGACACUUGCUGAUGGACAGCUUGUCAAUUUCAUCUAACAAACCGGAAUCACUGGGGCCAUCCAGGAAUCACAGCAGCUCAUGAAGAAAUUCCACAUGAACAGGGCUGUUAAAAGCCAACCCGCCAGAAAGGGUAGAACGGAGGAAGGACAAGAGGGUUCUAACACCUCCUGGAGGCAGGGCACCCACGGAAGUUUCUCAACACUUCUCGUUGAUUCAAGUGGAAGACCUUGAAGAGAGGCCCUUCUGUUUCCCUACACGGUGGACAGCAGAGCUCUGAAAAUUAGAUGCUUCCCCAAACCCAGACUCUCUUGGAACAUUCUUCCCAUGCGGGUGGUAUGAACUGCGUGGCACUGCUGUCCUCGCUGGCAUAUAUAGAUUUACACUCCACGCACGAGACUUCCAAGGCAACACCUAGGAUUUAGAGACUAUGUUCUCAGAGACGGGCAUGGAGGCAACGUCCUGGUUCUCAUGUGGUCAAGAAGGUAGAUGGAGAGAAACG